GCAGCUCGCCAUUGGUCCCUCGAACGAGGACCCACUGCUCGCCGCCUGCCCACUCAUUACAGACCCUUUGACGGACUACCUCCCCCUAUUGAUGACCUUUGCCAUCGAUUAUGGCGUAUUACAGCGUUCUGGUUUCUCCCCCUGGAAGCCCGGAGAACGGUAGUGUACACGGGUCUACCCUAAUCGAUCAUCCACCCCAUUACCCAGUGGAUCCGCUGUUAGGGAUCGACCAGACUCUCCUACUGGUCGGUGUGACCUUGACUCUGUGCCAGGUCUGAGGAUGCCCUCCGUCGUCACCCCUUAUAACGUGUUACCCGCGUUCGGACUACGUGGGUACGGCGCACAUACUUUUUUCGGAAGCCCAACAUUUCAUGAAAGUGGCUCCUCCUUCCGUAAUUCCAAUUAUUGGAACCACUAACUGCAAUGAGCGUCUUUUUUGUGGCCGAUUGAGGCACGGUCGUCGGCGCCAUUAUGCCUCCCACGUUCGCAAUUAGCCUUAAUGACCCGCAUUUCGCGUGCGUCCGCCAGACAGUUCAGACUACACUUUAGGGGCCCGAGUUGGACCCUUGACGUAAGAUUUGACCGUCCGAUAUCAGAACAUAUCCCCCCAUCUUAAGGUCCACAUAGCCGGUGAAAUGCGUAGAGAUCUGGAGGAAUACCGGUGGCGAAGGCGGCCCCCUGGACAAAGACUGACGCUCAGGUGCGAAAGCGUGGGGAGCAAACAGGAUUAGAUACCCUGGUAGUCCACGCCGUAAACGAUGUCGACUUGGAGGCUGUUCCCUUGAGGAGUGGCUUCCGGAGCUAACGCGUUAAGUCGACCGCCUGGGGAGUACGGCCGCAAGGUUAAAACUCAAAUGAAUUGACGGGGGCCCGCACAAGCGGUGGAGCAUGUGGUUUAAUUCGAUGCAACGCGAAGAACCUUACCUACUCUUGACAUCCAGGGAACUUAGCAGAGAUGCUUUGGUGCCUUCGGGAACCGUGAGACAGGUGCUGCAUGGCUGUCGUCAGCUCGUGUUGUGAAAUGUUGGGUUAAGUCCCGCAACGAGCGCAACCCUUAUCCUUUGUUGCCAGCGAUUCGGUCGGGAACUCAAAGGAGACUGCCAGUGAUAAACUGGAGGAAGGUGGGGAUGACGUCAAGUCAUCAUGGCCCUUACGAGUAGGGCUACACACGUGCUACAAUGGCGCAUACAAAGAGAAGCGACCUCGCGAGAGCAAGCGGACCUCAUAAAGUGCGUCGUAGUCCGGAUUGGAGUCUGCAACUCGACUCCAUGAAGUCGGAAUCGCUAGUAAUCGUAGAUCAGAAUGCUACGGUGAAUACGUUCCCGGGCCUUGUACACACCGCCCGUCACACCAUGGGAUUGGCUACAUAGAUAUAAGGUGUCCUUACCGUUCGGCAA
rnacentral:rRNA from 1 species